ACAAUUGUAAGGUGUUUUGGAAAGUUUGGAGCUGUAUUCAUAGCUCUUGCAAGACAGGCAGGAGACGCUUUAAUUAAAGUAAGAGCAACAAUGGGAAAGUAUUUUGGAAAAGAGCCAGGGAGCCUGAUACAGAAGUGAGGGUGGGAUAAGAAUUAUCUAAGAGGAUUCUUCAAUCACAUGCUUGUCUUUGAAAAGCAUGGGAAUGGUCUACAUUUCUGAGAAAAACUAAGCCGUGAGAACUUCUACGAAGUGAGCUGAUACCGUGGGGAUGAGAACACACGAGCCUGAGACUCUAACGCUCCCGACGGGCUCUGGCCUGGAGUCGGUCCCACGUGCUGACACUUCUUACAAACCAAUGGAGAAACUGCUCCCUUAGGAGUGAGUAUCCCUAAGAAGAAUUUUCAGUGUCGGUGGUGUGUAUGAAUAGCACCGUAGUGACCACACAUUCUGUGGAAAUCCCCAGUGAAAGCAUCUUAUGCAUUUGCCUUCCGAGCCUUGAAACUUUUCCCCCAGUCAUUUGGCCUUUUAAAGCUUCCUGAGCCUCCCCAUUCUGUUUCCUGCGCUCUGAAAUUUUUUACUGGUGAUUAGAAAGCGUGAAGCUAGAUCCUGCCAACACCCCAGGAGAAAAUCGAAGGUGAUCUGAGAACCAUCCAGACCAUGCUUAGGUAUGUAAGUCACCCCUAAACACUCCUGCCCUUCUCGCCUGCUUUGUCUCCUUUUUUGGGUACAAAGUAUGAUACCCACACAGAGCCUAGUUUGUUGAAGCAAUAGUAAUUUUUUUAAAACUUUCACAAUUCCCUGAUGGAGAAACAACUAUUGGAAUCAUACAUUAGUGUAUUUCUCUUUAGCUAUUUUUUCUGUGCUGAUAAGUUAGUAUGUUAUAAUCAUGUUCAUUAUGAAUUAUGUUAUGUUAUAAUGUGUGUUAAGCCAGCAUGAUCACUAUAAACAAUUCACACACAGAAAUGAAUAAAGGAUAAACAUCUCCUAGAAUCUGAAUCCUGGAGAUAAUUAUUGAGGCAGUUUUACCUAUGUUAAUCAGUUGCAUUCAUUAUCUUGAUAGAAGUAUCUGUGUCAGUUAUAUUCCUAUUACAUAUUAGAUACACUUACUUGAUUUUCUACCAAGUGGCUUAUAUUAUAUACUCUAUUCUAUAAUUUCUUUUAUUCACACUAUGACAACAGAACCAGAUAUCCUUUCAAGUUCACCUAUGUGUAAUGAUUCUGCUUUCAAAAUGACUACCCAGCAUUUCAUGGAAUGAAGAUACUAUACCUUUUAAAGUGUAAGCCCUACUGGGAGUUGCUAUUUCUAGUUUUUUGCAGCUAUGAAUGGUGCAAUAGACAUCUGAUGUAUUUGUCUUUGCAUGCCUGUCUGGGAAGCAGAGCUACUAGAUCUAAUAUGUGAGCGUGCAUGUUUUCACGUGAGUGUGAUGGUUACAUCAUAUUUAAUUGUGUCCUCCCACUAGUUCCAUGAAAUAUUAUAUGAUUUAAUGGUACCACAAUAAUAUUGCAGAUUCAAUUUAAUAGUUACAUGGUCUCCCUCUAAGGGACAAGGACUCAUGCUGAGUCAUAUAAAUAUGACCAACACUGUAUGGGAGACAAUAGUCUCUCACUGUUUUCACCACUAGCAGCUGGCCUUAACCACAUCUUGGGUGGAAUUUGAUGUGUUUCUAGAAUAUCUUGAUCAAGGAGAAAAAGAUAUGUAAGUGAUUUUUGUGGGAAAACUGCAUUAUGUUUAUAAAGGGAGGCAAAAGGUUCCGUAAUUUUGCAAAGAAAAUAAACCAAUAUUUCAAAGGU
rnacentral:lncRNA from 1 species